GACGAACGCUGGCGGCGUGCCUAAUACAUGCAAGUAGAACGCACAGUUUAUACCGUAGCUUGCUACACCAUAGACUGUGAGUUGCGAACGGGUGAGUAACGCGUAGGUAACCUGCCUGGUAGCGGGGGAUAACUAUUGGAAACGAUAGCUAAUACCGCAUAAUAUUAAUUAUUGCAUGAUAAUUAAUUGAAAGGUGCAAUUGCACCACUACCAGAUGGACCUGCGUUGUAUUAGCUAGUAGGUGAGGUAACGGCUCACCUAGGCGACGAUACAUAGCCGACCUGGGGAGGGGAUCGGCCACACUGGGACCGAGGCAAGGCCCAGACUUCUACGGGAGGCAGCAGGAGGGAAUCUUCGGCAAUGGACGAAAGGCUGACCGAGCAACGCCGCGGGAGUGGAGAAGGGUUUCGGAUCGGAAAGCUCUGUUGUAAGAGAAGAACGGGUGUGAGAGUGGAAAGUUCACACUGUGACGGUAUCUUACCAGAAAGGGACGGCUAACUACGUG
rnacentral:rRNA from 1 species